AUUGAACGCUGGCGGCAGGCCUAACACAUGCAAGUCGAGCGGAUGAAGGGAGCUUGCUCCUGGAUUCAGCGGCGGACGGGUGAGUAAUGCCUAGGAAUCUGCCUGGUAGUGGGGGAUAACGUCCGGAAACGGGCGCUAAUACCGCAUACGUCCUGAGGGAGGAAGUGGGGGAUCUUCGGACCUCACGCUAUCAGAUGAGCCUAGGUCGGAUUAGCUAGUUGGUGGGGUAAAGGCCUACUAAGGCGACGAUCCGUAACUGGUCUGAGAGGAUGAUCAGUCACACUGGAACUGAGACACGGUCCAGACUCCUACGGGAGGCAGCAGUGGGGAAUAUUGGACAAUGGGCGAAAGCCUGAUCCAGCCAUGCCGCGUGUGUGAAGAAGGUCUUCGGAUUGUAAAGCACUUUAAGUUGGGAGGAAGGGCAGUAAGUUAAUACCUUGCUGUUUUGACGUUACCAACAGAAUAAGCACCGGCUAACUUCGUG
rnacentral:rRNA from 1 species